UACAACAAAAAGCAGAUUUAGGGGCAUUUUUUAAAAGGCAUUUUCCACUAAGUGCCUUGUAAAAAUCUUCACGGGGCAGUACUUGCUAAGUGCCGCAAUUUGUUGGACCUAAUGGGGCAGUUUCCCUUUCAACGUGUGCUGGUGAAUAGGAUAUGGUGAUCCAAGUAUAGUAGGGGCACUUGCAAGUGCCUCAAAAAACAGGGCAUAAUCGAUCAAUUGAGUUUAAAAGGCUGAAAAUGACAUCGCUGAUAUCUAAUCUAACAGGGCACUUCUCUCCUAGGUGCCUCAAUACUAUUCUUUGGAUUCAAAUUUUGGCAAGUCUCAUUUUGGCGCUAUAAUCUCUUGCGAAUUGGGGAACUGGCACUUUUCAUUUCUUUUUCAAACCGUAGAAAGUGUUGCACAAUUCGGUACACAAUCCACUCUUCCCUCUCUCUCCUCCGAGUUCUCUCGUCCCUCUCUCUCCUUAGAUUUCGAAUUGCAACUGCAGAUUGAAAGGGUUUCUGUGCAUCUUUUACUCUUCCCCUCGGUGUCCGUUCGUCGUGUGUGAGAGAUGCAACUAUGCAGUGUAUAUUUAUAUUUUUUGUGUUCCUUCAAUUGUACUUUGGAGAAGACUAAACCCCGUCGAGAGAAACCAACUUGUUACAGAGAAGAAGAUUGAAUAAAUGCGCUAACCAUAUUCAGCAACAAUUGGGUAUCUGAUCCUCUUCAACUCUCACCACCAAGAGCUGAUGUCAUGAUGGUUUGUUUCCAAGUGCAGAAGGCCAAAGAUUUGAUACUUUUCUACAGUUUUAGUUAGUAAUUAUUCAAAUUGAGUUUGAGAACUCUUAAGCCAUUAUUGUAAUGUUCAAUAUUCACUAAGUUGAAUAGUAUGUUUAAUUCUGUUUCAAAAUUACUUCUUCCUUCAUAUGAUUUUUUUAGGCAGUGGAAUAACUAAUUAAGUUUUUUGGCUUUGUAUGUGUGCCUUGUAAAUGAGAACCUCUCAAUUCAUAUAAAGAAGUUUUAUUUGUUUGUCAACAUGAUUCUGUAGUAGAUAAUUAUGUAAAUUGGAUUUGAUAGAACGUUUAAUA